rnacentral:rRNA from 1 species
AUUGAACGCUGGCGGCAGGCUUAACACAUGCAAGUCGAGCGGAGUGAUGGUGCUUGCACUAUCACUUAGCGGCGGACGGGUGAGUAAUGCUUAGGAAUCUGCCUAUUAGUGGGGGACAACAUCUCGAAAGGGAUGCUAAUACCGCAUACGUCCUACGGGAGAAAGCAGGGGAUCACUUGUGACCUUGCGCUAAUAGAUGAGCCUAAGUCGGAUUAGCUAGUUGGUGGGGUAAAGGCCUACCAAGGCGACGAUUUGUAGCGGGUCUGAGAGGAUGAUCCGCCACACUGGGACUGAGACACGGCCCAGACUCCUAAGGGAGGCAGCAGUGGGGAAUAUUGGACAGUGGGGGGAACCCUGAUCCAGCCAUGCCGCGUGUGUGAAGAAGGCCUUAUGGUUGUAAAGCACUUUAAGCGAGGAGGAGGCUCUUUUGGUUAAUACCCAAGAUGAGUGGACGUUACUCGCAGAAUAAGCACCGGCUAACUCUGUGCCAGCCGCCGCGGUAAUAC